rfam:Pseudomonas fulva 12-X, complete genome.
UCAGGAAGCCGAGUGGAACCGUUGUGUAGAGGGUUGAGCGACAUGGAUGUCGCGAGAGCCGCGAUGGGCCAAGGAUGGCCCUUCGCGGCGGGCCCUCGGAGUGACGAUGGAACGAGGGAACCCCGGCGAAGCCG